CGUUGUAUCAUCUGUCAUUAGGCAAUUUUGUGUACAAUCACGAGCUCUCAUAACGCUCUGGGAGUAAUUAGUGUCCGAAGCGUCCAACCACUGAAUACAAAACGCCCGACUUAAACAGCAAUUUUCAUUCGAGCAAAGUCUCCGUAAUCAGUCUAACAUCGCCGCGUGUGUAACAAAAAAUUUUGCGGUUCCAGCCGAUCAAACGGGCAAGCGUUCAGCCCCUGUUCAUGAGAGCAAUUUUCACUUUGUGAAGUGGCGAUAUUUCAUACGUCGAACGAAGCGAAACAAUGCAGAGUCCUGCUUUUGACAUCCCUCCUCUUUUAGGCCGGGGGCACAAUGGAGGCGUUACAACUAAAGAGACUUUGCCAAACAGUUGGCCAAAAUUUAUUAAUAUAGGAAUGGAAUUUUUGAGCGCAAUUCCAGCACAAUGUGAGCUUUGCGGGGAGACACGGAUUUUUGGAAUAAUUAAACGCGCUUUCGGAUUUCGCCAAAUCAUAACGUUUAUGCAAAUGAAGUUUGUUCGGCGUCUUGAUGGGCAAAAAGUCACCCUCUUGCAUCGCUUAUCUAUCAUCAUUAGUGCUUUUUGUCGAGAUGACUGGAACUUUGCGUCUUGUCUCCUAAAUUAAGCAAUUUUUCGUUUUUUUUUGGCGCUCUUUGAGGUUGAUUUAAUUAAUUGCCAAAAUAAUUAAAAUUAUGCAAAGCACGACCGGACAAAUGUUUCGGAUCGAUUCCAUGUCAAAACUUUUUAGUUAAUUUAUCGGCGUUCUAAUUCAACCGUUGAAGCUUUUCAAUUAGCAAUCUGUAUGACAGGUCGUUCAAAGAAACAUAAACGCUGCUAUCGCAGGUGCACACGAACUAAACACCAGUAAACUGCUAAAAUUAAUGUCGCAAUUAAACUCGGGCUUUAUACAUUUUAAUAUUUUCUUCUUUAUAACUCUAAAAGGAGGGAUAUUUUCGUCUCAAGUUUAUGACGGCCGCAACAACAAUAAUUGAUUGAGGAAAAUGAGUUUUUAAUUAACUUUCCGCGUUCUUUUCCCUCGGACUUUUUCAUAAUUACGGUAUUAGAGCGAAACUUGGUCCUGUUAUUAAAUUAUCGUCGAAUUCGGGUAACGCAAAAUAAAUUAUUCUUUACAAUGUCGCAUUUGUCGCGCAGUCAUAAAUAAAAUUUAAGUUGUG